rnacentral:rRNA from 1 species
CCUACGGGUGGCAGCAGUGGGGGAUAUUGCACAAUGGGGGAAACCCUGAUGCAGCGACGCCGCGUGUGGGAAGACGGUCCUCUGGAUUGUCAACCACUGUCCCCAGGGACGAAGAUGACGGUACAUGCAAAGGAAGCAACGGCUAACUCCGUGCCAGCAGCCGCGGUGAUACGGAGGGUGCGAGCGUUAAUCGGAAUUACUGGGCGUAAAGCGCUCGUAGGCGGUAUGUCAAGUCAAGGGUGAAAUCCCCGCGCUCAACGUGGGAACUGCCUUUGAAACUGGCAAACGGGAGUGUGUGAGAGGAUAGUAGAAUUCCAGGUGUAGGAGUGAAAUCCGUAGAUAUCUGGAGGAACAUCAGUGGCGAAGGCGACUAUCUGGCACAUAACUGACGCUGAGGAGCGAAAGCGUGGGUAGCAAACAGGAUUAGAUACCCUAGUAGUC